rnacentral:rRNA from 1 species
AUUGAACGCUGGCGGCAGGCCUAACACAUGCAAGUCGAGCGGAUGAGGGAAGCUUGCUUCCCGAUUUAGCGGCGGACGGGUGAGUAAUGCCUAGGAAUCUGCCUAUUAGUGGGGGAUAACGUUCCGAAAGGAACGCUAAUACCGCAUACGUCCUACGGGAGAAAGUGGGGGAUCUUCGGACCUCACGCUAAUAGAUGAGCCUAGGUCGGAUUAGCUAGUUGGUGAGGUAACGGCUCACCAAGGCGACGAUCCGUAGCUGGUCUGAGAGGAUGAUCAGCCACACUGGAACUGAGACACGGUCCAGACUCCUACGGGAGGCAGCAGUGGGGAAUAUUGGACAAUGGGCGAAAGCCUGAUCCAGCCAUGCCGCGUGUGUGAAGAAGGUCUUCGGAUUGUAAAGCACUUUAAGUUGGGAGGAAGAGUUGUAAGCUAAUAUCUUGCAGCUUUGACGUUACCAACAGAAUAAGCACCGGCUAACUCUGUGCCAGCCGCCGCCGUAAGAC